rnacentral:rRNA from 1 species
AAAGAUUAAGCCAUGCAUGUAUAAGUAUAAACGCUUUCAGCGUGAAACCGCGAACGGCUCAUUACAACAGCUAUAAUUUACUUGAUCUUGACAAUCUACUUGGAUAACUGUGGUAAUUCUAGAGCUAAUACAUGCACCAAAGCUUCGCCCAGCGAUGGAGGAGCGCAUUUAUUAGAUCAAAACCAAACGGCUUCGGCCGUCCAUUGUUGACUCAGAAUAACUAAGCUGAUCGUACGGUCUUGCACCGACGACGUGUCUUUCAAGUAUCUGCCUUAUCAACUUUCGAUGGUAGUGUGUCUGACUACCAUGGUGAUGACGGGUAACGGAGGAUCAGGGUUCGACUCCGGAGAAGGGGCCUGAGAAAUGGCCACUACGUCUAAGGAUGGCAGCAGGCGCGCAAAUUACCCACUCUCAGAAUUUGGAGGAGGUAGUGACGAGAAAUAACGAGGCUGUUCUCUUCGAGGCCAGCCAUCGGAGUGGGUGCAAUUUAAAUCACUCAACGAGUAUCUAUGAGAGGGCAAGUCUGGUGCCAGCAGCCGCGGUAAUUCCAGCUCUCAAAAUGCAUAGAAUUAUUGCUGCGGUUAAAAAGCUCGUAGUUGGAUCUGUGCUGGUGUGCCGGUCUCGCCUUCGGGCGUGUACUGGUUCUCGCACUGGCUUUCCUGCAGUUUUCGGCUGGCUCUCCCUCACGGGUCUGCCUGUUCGGUGCUGCAAGUUUACUUUGAACAAAUCAGAGUGCUUCAAACGGGCGUCUCGCUCGAAUGUUCUUGCAUGGAAUAAUAGAAGAGGAUUUCGGUUCUAUUUUAUUGGUUUUAUAGACUGAGAUAAUGGUUAACAGAGACAAACGGGGGCAUUCGUAUUGCUACGUGAGAGGUGAAAUUCUUGGACCGUAGCAAGACGAACUACAGCGAAAGCAUUUGCCAAGAAUG